CUACGGGAGGCAGCAGUGGGGAAUUUUGGACAAUGGGGGCAACCCUGAUCCAGCAAUGCCGCGUGUGUGAAGAAGGCCUUCGGGUUGUAAAGCACUUUUGUCCGGAAAGAAAACCUCCGUCCUAAUACGGUGGGGGGAUGACGGUACCGGAAGAAUAAGCACCGGCUAACUACGUGCCAGCAGCCGCGGUAAUACGUAGGGUGCAAGCGUUAAUCGGAAUUACUGGGCGUAAAGCGUGCGCAGGCGGUUCGCUAAGACCGAUGUGAAAUCCCCGGGCUUAACCUGGGAACUGCAUUGGUGACUGGCGGGCUAGAGUAUGGCAGAGGGGGGUAGAAUUCCACGUGUAGCAGUGAAAUGCGUAGAGAUGUGGAGGAAUACCGAUGGCGAAGGCAGCCCCCUGGGCCAAUACUGACGCUCAUGCACGAAAGCGUGGGGAGCAAACAGGAUUAGAUACCCUGGUAGUCCACGCCCUAAACGAUGUCAACUAGUUGUCGGGUCUUCAUUGACUUGGUAACGAAGCUAACGCGUGAAGUUGACCGCCUGGGGAGUACGGUCGCAAGAUUAAAACUCAAAGGAAUUGACGGGGACCCGCACAAGCGGUGGAUGAUGUGGAUUAAUUCGAUGCAACGCGAAAAACCUUACCUACCCUUGACAUGUACGGAACCUUGCCGAGAGGUGAGGGUGCCCGAAAGGGAGCC
rnacentral:rRNA from 1 species